rnacentral:rRNA from 1 species
UACGUAGGGAGCAAGCGUUGUCCGGAAUCAUUGGGCGUAAAGCGCGCGUAGGUGGCCUCAUAAGUCCGUUGUGAAAGUCAAAGGCUCAACCUUUGAAAGCCGAUGGAUACUGUGAGGCUAGAGUCCGGAAGAGGCGAGUGGAAUUCCUGGUGUAGCGGUGGAAUGCGCAGAUAUCAGGAGGAACACCGGUGGCGAAGGCGGGUCUCUGGGCCGAUACUGACGCUGAGACGCGAAAGCGUGGGGAGCAAACAGG